rnacentral:lncRNA from 1 species
UCAAAGAGCUCCUUAAAAGAUAAUUGACUACUUAAAGUGAAAAUGACAACAAUGUACUGUGUGGUUUAAAAUGAAUGGAGAGGCAAAACCUAUGGCAAAAAUCCAACCAGAUUUAAGUCCUAUGACACAAAAAUAAAAGUAUGCAAUUUUAAUAAUGGGAAGGUGUGGUGGUGUACUCCAGCCUAGGCAACAAAGUGAGCCCCUGUCUCAAAAACAAAAAACAAAAAAAACCUGACAGCUAUAUUAGAUCCAAAGUGACUGGUGGCCAGGCAUGGUGCUCGAUAUCACAUUCUGGGUGCCCAGGCUUCUGUUUAGCCAGCAAAGGGAAAUAUCUGGAAGAAAAAACAUUGUAGUAAUCAUCUUAUUCUCAAUAUGUUCACUUCUAGGAGUAAUAAAUGAGACAUGGUCUUUGCCCUGAAGGAGCUGUGGAUAAUACGUUAUGAAGAUAGAUGAAUACAACAAAGGCAGUAUGUGAUGACAGGGCCUUACAGAGCUGGAAAGGGCAUGCAGGAAGAAGAGACUGCUAUGCUGGGGCUGUGGUGACUAGAACCAGAGCAGCUAAGAGAGGGGUCUGGGACAGUCCCAGCUUACAUUGGCUGUUUUGACUUACUUAUUACAACUCUUUUCAACCUCAGGAGUUUUUCAGUUUGGACAAAAAAGUACAUGUUCACCCUAAUUAAUAAGUUUUUGCUGUCCUGAGUUCAGCUAUUUCUGAGAAAAUUUAAACUUACUUAUAAGCUAGUAAAAUGCUAGACUUCUCUAUAGAUGAAAAAUCUGUUUUAAUUUCUGAUUGAUACUAUGUAAACUGCAACUACACUUCAAAAUCUAAAUUUUUUUAAUUAAAAAGUAACAUUCCCAUUGAAGGGGUUCUGAAAUAUUCAUUCGUUCUUCCACACACAACUUCAUAUGCAUAUCUAUUGUUAUGUGGAUUCCAAGGGAAGUCAACACUUUUAUAGAUUUCUUCAGGUGAGUGUUAAGUAUAAAAGGGAAAAAAAGGUUCUGCUGCCUAACUCUUCCAUUGCUAUAUGGCUUCUAUUUACCCAACCAAAAAAUGAGAAAUUGCAGAAAAGAAUGAAGUGGCAUCCAACAAUGUGGCUCAAUACCUUCAAUAAGGACCCAAUGAAUAUAAAAAUGAAUCUCUAUUGUAAAGUCUUCCUGGAUGAAAGUCCUUCAUGGCUUAUUUGCAUAGAAAUGACAAAACUAUACAACAUUUCUCAAGUAAGCCUAUGAAGUGUCGCUUACAAAUGUCCAAUGAUAAAGAUAUAAAAUUGCUGUGUCAAAUUGGGGAAUAAAUGUAGAGAACAUACUAUUAGUAAAAUAAACAAGUUUUCCUGAGGAAGACAAUGUCACGGUUUUUGGUUUGUUUCUGAAGACUAGUAACAUGAAGAAAUGUUCAUGACAUAAAGAUACAUGAAAAAAACAAAAUCAAAAGCCAGUACAGUAUGAUUCCAAUCUUGUAAAAACCAAGACUAUGAUUUUAACAUCACUGAAUCAAUAAUAAAACCUUUUCUGACCAUGAGAGCUGAAUGUACAUUUAGAUGGAGUUUCACAAAGAAGACAAUGGUCUAGAAAAUCUAGAAAGCUUGUGAGGUUUUCCUGAUUUUCAGUGGGAACUGGGAGAAAGACAUAGAAUGCCAAUUACAAGUCAGCAUUUAUUUUUAAGCAAGCAUGCAGAAAAUGAUAAUAUUUAUGUGAUGAUAUAACUAUCUGGUGUGUUUCACAUUCUGUUUCUCCCUUUGCCAGGCCAAAUCAAACUGCUGACAUAAUUAUUACAUAUAUUGGAAGAACAUCUCUAUCAAUUCUAAUACUUAAAAUUUUCAAGUUUUAAUCAAACUGUAAAAAUUAUUAAAAAGUAUUAGUUUUAGCUGUAAUACAUACUCUAAAAUUUUCAUUACUUUGCAAGAUGUUAUUUUACCUAUUUUUCCUGUUUAAUUAUUAUAAAAAAUUCAAACAGUCCAAAGGAUGUAUUAUGAAAAGUCUCCUCUCCCUGCUCUGGUCUACCCAAACCUCCACGUGCUAUGGCCACAUUGUUAACAGUUCUCAUGUGUCCUUCUGGACAGUUUCUAUUUCAUUUCAUAUUUAUACACAUAGACACAAACUUUCCUGGAUCACACUAUAUAUACUGUCUAGCAAUUUAUCUUUUUAUCUUUUUUUUUUUUUUGAGACAGGGUCUCGCUUUCACCCAGGCUAGAAUGCAGUGGCAUGAUCAUGGCUCAUUGUAGCCUCAACUUUGUUGGCUCAAGCAAUCCUCCCACCUCAGCCUCCAAGUAGCUGGAACUAAAGGCAUGCGCCACAUGCCCAGCCAAUUUUUUGAUUUUCAGUAGAGACAAGCCCUCACUACGUUGUCCAGACUGGUCUCGAAUUCCUGAGGUCAAGCAAUCCUGCCUCUGCCUCCCAAAGUACUGGGAUUACAGGCGUGAGCCACUGUGCAUGGCUACAUUUUUCUUUAAACUAUGUAUUUUGAGAUCUUUCCUUGCUUUUACUCAGCUGCCUCAUUCUCUAACUGUACCAAAAGUAGUUCACUGUAUGGAAAGACCAUAAAUUACACUAUUAGUUUCCUGGACUGCUUUAACCAGAUUCAUCUAAAACACUGCCCUUUUUAAAGAAGGAAAAAAGAAAGGUUAUACCUUGCGUUUCUGCUCCAGAUACUGAUCAGUUUCAGCAGAGGAGUAGGAGAAUAUUGACUCUCAGAUCCAAGCCUGCUGAUCUAGGAGACAAAGUAAAAAACAGAAUACCAAAUACAUAUACCAAAUUAUAGAAAAACCACAAAUAACUAACAAGUACAGAAAUCACAGCACAGGAUGAAAAAGACAAGGGACAGAGAUGAACAUCCAAAUGACACAAUAAGAAAAAGUAUAAAGAGAUCCAAAAGAACAUCUACAUAGGAAAAAUGGCAAAGGUGAUGCAUGGAAGUGCUAGACACCAGAAAGGAAAUGGUAUUUUAGGUUUCAGAGUGUUGGAAAUGACUGGGACCUCAAACACCUAGAAACAUUUCCUAAAAUCAAAUCUCUCCUUCAGUCUAUACCUAUACCAGUUACCAUCACCAAGGGGUUACAACCAGAGAAAUCAAAAUAGGAAGUAUGUAAUAAAAACACCUGGGUGUUUUCCCUCACACUUGUCCAAAGCCAGAGGCAACGCUAUGUGAGGUGCUAUAAAAGUCAUGUUACAGGCCGGGCACAGUGGCUCACGCCUGUAAUCCCAGCACUUUGGGAGGCCAAGGCAGGCGGAUCACCUGAGGUCAGGAGUUCAAGACCAGCCUGGCCAACAUGGCGAAACUCCAUCUCUACUAAAAAUACAAAAAUUAGCUGGACAUUGUGGUGCAUGGCUGUAAUCCCAGCUACUUGGGAGGCUGAGGCAGGAGAAUCUCUUUCUUGAAUCCAGGAGGCAGAGGUUGCAGUAAGCAAGACUCUAUCUCAAAAAAACAGUUAUGUUACAGUUGCUUAAGAGACACAUUCAUAUUCAACUGAGCCUUAAGUGUAAAUGCCAUGGUACAGCAGAAACUAACUCUUGAGUUUUAGGUGGUAGUGAAGGCAAAGAAAAGUGUUCUAAAAACUUCCAGAAAGAAGGGCUCGAUGUAAAAGGAAAGACCCAGGUAAGCAUUCAUGUCUGGGUGGUAGCUAUGUUGGUGAGUUAGUAAUAAAGGAAAAAGCAGAACGUACAUAGGCAGAUGUAGAAAUUGAGGUUUACCUGGGGCCAAACUGCACCAUGAAACACAGCAU